rnacentral:rRNA from 1 species
UACGAAGGGGGCUAGCGUUGUUCGGAAUCACUGGGCGUAAAGCGCACGCAGGCGGGUCUUUAAGUCAGGGGGGAAAUCCUGGAGCUCAACUCCAGAACUGCCUUUGAUACUGAAGAUCUUGAGUUCGGGAGAGGUGAGUGGAACUGCGAGUGUAGAGGUGAAAUUCGUAGAUAUUCGCAAGAACACCAGUGGCGAAGGCGGCUCACUGGCCCGAUACUGACGCUGAGGCACGAAAGCGUGGGGAGCAAACAGG